rnacentral:snRNA from 1 species
GUACUUACCUGGCAGGGGUGAUACCAUGAUCACAAAGGUGGUUUUCCCAGGGUGAGGCUCGUCUGUUGCACUCCGGAUGUGGUGACCCUAAGAUUUCCCCAAAUGUGGGAAUCUUGACUGCAUAAUUUAUGUAGUGC